UACGAGAGGCCCAAACGUUAUUCGGAAUUACUGGGCUUAAAGAGUUCGUAGGCGGCAUUGCAAGUAGGGUGUGAAAGCCCUCGGCUCAACCGAGGAAUUGCGCUCUAAACUGCAGUGCUCGAGGAACCUAGAGGUGAGCAGAACAGAUGGUGGAGCGGUGAAAUGCGUUGAUAUUGGGAGGAACACCGGUGGCGAAGGCGGCGACCUGGGUAGAUACUGACGCUGAGGUGCGAAAGCGUGGGGAGCAAACAGG
rnacentral:rRNA from 1 species